GCUUACAUCAAUGAUUCCCGUACGAUCACCGAAGUUAAGCAAUGUCGAGACUGGUCAGUAUCUAGAUGGGUGACCACUUGGAAGUACCUGGUGCUGUAAG